rnacentral:snoRNA from 1 species
AUUGCCUCUAGAGGUGUUGCAGGUGUGGCUGCUGUGUCACACCUCGGUGGCAGAGAGGAGAGAGGCUGUGUCCACCCUCAAUGUUCAGACCUACGAACGUCUUACUGAUUAGUAGCCUACCACU